rnacentral:rRNA from 1 species
CCUACGGGUGACAGCAGUGGGGAAUAUUGCACAAUGGGGGAAACCCUGAUGCAGCGACGCCGCGUGAAGGAAGACGUAUUUCGGUAUGUAAACUUCUUUCAGCAGGGAAGAAAAUGACGGUACCUGACUAAGAAGCACCGGCUAACUACGUGCCAGCAGCCGCGGUCAUACGUAGGGGGCAAGCGUUACUCGGAAUCACUGGGUGUAAAGGGAGCGUAGGCGGUUUAGCAAGUCAGAUGUGAAAGCCCGGGGCUCAACUCCAGAACUGCAUUUGAAACUGUUUAACUAGAGUACGGGAGAGGUAAGUGGAAUUCCUGGUGUAGCGGUGAAAUGCGUAGAGAUUAAGAGGAACACCAGUUGCGAAGGCGACUUACUAGACUAUAAAUGACGCUGAGGCUCGAAAGCGUGGGGAGCAAACAGGAUUAGAUACCCGGGUAGUC